UGCAGUCGAACGGUGAAGCAGAGCUUGCUCUGUGGAUCAGUGGCGAACGGGUGAGUAACACGUGAGCAACCUGCCCCUGACUCUGGGAUAAGCGCUGGAAACGGCGUCUAAUACUGGAUAUGUGACGUGACCGCAUGGUCUGCGUCUGGAAAGAAUUUCGGUUGGGGAUGGGCUCGCGGCCUAUCAGCUUGUUGGUGAGGUAAUGGCUCACCAAGGCGUCGACGGGUAGCCGGCCUGAGAGGGUGACCGGCCACACUGGGACUGAGACACGGCCCAGACUCCUACGGGAGGCAGCAGUGGGGAAUAUUGCACAAUGGGCGAAAGCCUGAUGCAGCAACGCCGCGUGAGGGAUGACGGCCUUCGGGUUGUAAACCUCUUUUAGCAGGGAAGAAGCGAAAGUGACGGUACCUGCAGAAAAAGCGCCGGCUAACUACGUGCCAGCAGCCGCGGUAAUACGUAGGGCGCAAGCGUUAUCCGGAAUUAUUGGGCGUAAAGAGCUCGUAGGCGGUUUGUCGCGUCUGCUGUGAAAUCCGGAGGCUCAACCUCCGGCCUGCAGUGGGUACGGGCAGACUAGAGUGCGGUAGGGGAGAUUGGAAUUCCUGGUGUAGCGGUGGAAUGCGCAGAUAUCAGGAGGAACACCGAUGGCGAAGGCAGAUCUCUGGGCCGUAACUGACGCUGAGGAGCGAAAGGGUGGGGAGCAAACAGGCUUAGAUACCCUGGUAGUCCACCCCGUAAACGUUGGGAACUAGUUGUGGGGUCCAUUCCACGGAUUCCGUGACGCAGCUAACGCAUUAAGUUCCCCGCCUGGGGAGUACGGCCGCAAGGCUAAAACUCAAAGGAAUUGACGGGGACCCGCACAAGCGGCGGAGCAUGCGGAUUAAUUCGAUGCAACGCGAAGAACCUUACCAAGGCUUGACAUAUACGAGAACGGGCCAGAAAUGGUCAACUCUUUGGACACUCGUAAACAGGUGGUGCAUGGUUGUCGUCAGCUCGUGUCGUGAGAUGUUGGGUUAAGUCCCGCAACGAGCGCAACCCUCGUUCUAUGUUGCCAGCACGUAAUGGUGGGAACUCAUGGGAUACUGCCGGGGUCAACUCGGAGGAAGGUGGGGAUGACGUCAAAUCAUCAUGCCCCUUAUGUCUUGGGCUUCACGCAUGCUACAAUGGCCGGUACAAAGGGCUGCAAUACCGCGAGGUGGAGCGAAUCCCAAAAAGCCGGUCCCAGUUCGGAUUGAGGUCUGCAACUCGACCUCAUGAAGUCGGAGUCGCUAGUAAUCGCAGAUCAGCAACGCU
rnacentral:rRNA from 1 species